UACGUAGGGCGCAAGCGUUGUCCGGAAUUAUUGGGCGUAAAGAGCUCGUAGGCGGUUUGUCACGUCGGCUGUGAAAACCUGGGGCUCAACCCCGGGCCUGCAGCCGAUACGGGCAGACUAGAAUUCGGUAGGGGAGACUGGAAUUCCUGGUGUAGCGGUGAAAUGCGCAGAUAUCAGGAGGAACACCGGUGGCGAAGGCGGGUCUCUGGGCCGAUAUUGACGCUGAGGAGCGAAAGCGUGGGGAGCGAACAGG
rnacentral:rRNA from 1 species